rnacentral:lncRNA from 1 species
CUAGCUGCGCUCCGUCCAGUCUGUAAUACCACUUGUUCCUCUAGAGGUGAUAGUGAGUCACUGUAGCUGCAGUCUGCCUCAGUACAGAGAGAGAAGAGGUACAGCUGUCUGACUCGGGCCGACUCAAGGCUUGUCAACAUUACAUCCAUGAUCCCUGCACGUUUUGAUUGUUUGUUUUGAUUCAAUCCAAAGGGGCAAAAAACGAGAAAACAACUCACACCCUCGCCUCGUCCUCACCGGCCACGGAAAGGCUGGUUCGCCAGAAGUUGAGUGUGCGGUGGCUGGGAAAUGGACAUAUCUUCCGUUAGCAGUGAGCAGUUAGCAUCGACUAUCCGAUGGAUCGUCAAACUUUCUGUUUCUGCCGUUACACAGAUUAGACCCAGCGCUUCAUCAGCCUGCUGUGACUCGCUGGCCGAAUCCGAGCCGCCAGAGCCGCUGCACUCUCCCCUCCGGGGAAGUUGUACUAUCUCGACUCUCUGCCACCCGGACCCAAUCCAACAUACAAACUAUCAAAACAUAACAUUACACGGACCAUACAGACCCCAGUGCAACAGUAAACACACAGAUAUCUAAACAACAAACGAUCGUCAAGGAUAAUUGUGAAGCGAUGUGUUGUAUGGGGAUGUGGGGCCGUCUCCAAAUCUAGUUUUCUGUGGCCAAAAGAUGAUAAAAUGUCGCGUUUAUGAACAAGACAAGUGCGUUGAUGAAACCGACGAUUUGUGGGCAGCACUUUGAGAGAUCGUGUUUCAAACAAACUAUGCUCGAGAUGCAUUCGCCAAAAGGGAGAGAGCAAAGAGGUAUUGAAACAUUGGUGAAUGAAGCCACUGACAGAACUGAGGAUACCUGUAUGAUCAGCGACCAUCUAUUGGACAUCCACACUGAGGAGGAAGCUGUGUGUACACCAACAUGUCAGAAAGAAAUUGCUGUGCAGAUGGAUCCCCCUCCACGGACACACCACAAGUCCAUGCAGGCGCGACCACGUGUCAGGUCAGCUGGACUGCAAGUUCCAAUCCAAGUUGGUUGUUCCAAAGAGUAUGUUACUGAACUCUUGACCGAGACUCUACGCUUUGUGCCAAGACAAUGUUGAUGAGGAACCUUUCGAAGUCCCAGCUCCACUCAGCAGUCGGUGGACGAACCAAACAAGAGGGAUGUUGUUGUGCUGUAUAGAAGCAGAUUCAAUCACUGAACUGACAUUGUGUUUUGUUAUUGACUCUAAUAAAGUGCUGAUACUUGAACGACGUGUAGUUGUCAGAUGGAAACGUAGCUACAGAUCUUUUGAAUGGCACAUGAUGGCAUUCUGUGGUUCUUACCAAGUAUUCCCCAACAAAAUCUCACCGGCGGUACAUUGGAUUGGAUACAUUCUGUAACAUACAAGAUAAUACAUGUCAAUGGUAAUCACUUCAACCUUAUUUGCUUAUUUAUCUAUGUAUUCUGUAACUUUGCCAGAGUGACCAUUCGACUCCCCAAAAAUACAUCAAAGUUUCUGAGCUCUACACAUUUGUGAACACAAGUAACUUACUCAUUACGUGGCCGAUCACCUGCUUGUUGUCUGUCCCUCUUCGAAUACCUUUGGUAGGCUGUCUGCAACACCCAAACAUCCAGACAAUUUGAUUUGAAUCCUGGUUGAUCUGUUAUGCAGGUUAUGUUUGCACCAUGUCCCUCAUAUUCAUUGAAUUCCUCCAUGACAUCCUUUUCUUGGCAGCAGCUCUUCAAUUGCUUGCAUAAUUGUACAGUUUUCACAUGUACACCUAAAUGUACAAAAGAAGAGUGGUAAGGACAUGUACACAAUAUGCAAUAUCCAGAAAAAAUGCCAAUAUUAACGUCAUCUUAAUUUCAUACUUUUUAUAUGCCUGUGUUUAACAACAGGCUCGUAAGCACUAUAGGUGAGACGGUCAGUAUACAGACUAUACUUUAUAAAACAUCGCUGUCCUCCGGU